CCAGAGACCCCCUGGGGCAGAAGUUUUACUUUUAAAAGAUGAGUAAGUUAUUAGGACUUCAGACAGGGACUGGGGGAUACAGAGACAGAGACACUGGGAGACAUGGGGACACUGGAAGACUGGGGGACACUGAGACUCUAGGGGAGACAUGGGGACACUGAGAAACUAGGGGACACUGGGAGACAUGAGGACACUAAGAGAGACAUGGG